AUAGUGAGCAAUUUAGUGACUUGGACAACGUGUUUACUUUUAGAUUGGCCACCAUGUGCCGCACUAUUCUAACAAUUAAUAUUCUUGGAUUUACAUACGUUUAUCUUCCUCUUGUCCGUGGACAGCCAAGGUUAGGAACACGAAGAGCGCAAUGUUAAUCAGCGACCGAUACGCCAUGAUAUCAACUCCAGCAGUGGACUAUUUUGGUGCAAAAUGUUUUUCAAGCACUACGCACCGUCACCCUGUAUUUUGAUCAAGCCGUGAUUUGAGGGCGACAGGGAGUUCAGACAAUGCGCGCUGAGUUAAUCAGAGGCAGGCGUCGACGUAUAAAUCUGUAAUUUCUGGCAUUGUGUGAAUAGUUUUAUUGACAGUGAUAUCUGAUAUGGUAUGAAGCCACUUCUAUAUUGAAAGUCAUUGGAAAGGAUUCGUACGUCCGUUUCCCUGAAAUCUGAUAUCGAGCAUCUUAUCCAGCAGAAACACUGUACUGAUGAACCAGGCGAGAAUGCACGGCCUUUCAACAGCUUU